rnacentral:rRNA from 1 species
AGAUUGAACGCUGGCGGCAGGCCUAACACAUGCAAGUCGAGCGGCAGCACGGGUACUUGUACCUGGUGGCGAGCGGCGGACGGGUGAGUAAUGCCUAGGAAUCUGCCUAGUGGUGGGGGGAUAACGUUCGGAAACGGACGCUAAUACCGCAUACGUCCUACGGGAGAAAGCAGGGGACCUUCGGGCCUUGCGCUAUCAGAUGAGCCUAGGUCGGAUUAGCUAGUUGGUGAGGUAAUGGCUCACCAAGGCGACGAUCCGUAACUGGUCUGAGGAGGAUGAUCGAGUCACACGUGGAACUGAGACACGGUCAGACUCCGUAGGGAGCAGCAGGUAGGGAAUAGUGGAACAGGUGGGACGUAAGCCUGACUCC